GUUUGUUUUCCAGUUCCUGAUACUCAGUGCCAAGACCUUUGUGAUUUCCUGGCGCUGAGUCCUGUUCAACCUGUGUUGGAUGAAGAUACAGAUCACCUGAAUGCUGCCUGCCUGUACCUUGAAACUUCCCUCAUUUCCUGGUUUCCUUCUAAGUAAAAGUCCCACACCUGGGUUCACCAUACUUAAGGAUCGGACCGAGGCUGGAUGGAUAAGAUGAGAUAAGGCCAGUCGAUUGCGGACACGGAACGGUCACACAGACGGGGCCGGACGUGUCGAUACGCUAACACACGGUGAAAGGAGAGGAGGACGGGGAAGAAGAGAACAGAGAAGCCUAAAACAGACCUAAAACCAUGUAACCCUAACCCUAAAACAGAGUAAAGCAGAGCAGAGAACAACAGAGUACAAUAGAGUAUAAUAAAGUCAUCACAAUAGAGUAUAAUAGAGUCAUCAUGAAGUACUCAUCAAUUAUGCAAACUUUUCUUUCAAAACACUUUUUUGAAAAUUUUCUUUCAACCUUUCAAAAAAAAAUUGAAAAAAAAUCACUUUGUUGCUAAAAUAUUUUUUUAACCAUUCAUGGUUGCAGUUAGGGGAUGACGAGGAGGCCGGACCUGUCCGACACAGGGUUAGUGCCUAACUGUGUAAACUGUAGCUGGUGCUAGUUAGGCUAGCUAACCGUUGUUAAGGUGGCCAGAUUUUGAAUUCUUGUAGUGUAGUAUAGAAUGUGGGCCCUGUACAGAGAUACUUGUACCCCAGUAGAGCGUUGGGUCUAGCACGGCCCCCGGUCUCAAGCAUACAGAGAUACUACAGAAGACACAGAAUCACAGCAGCUUGAUCUAGAGCUCAGGGUUUAUUCAGCAUGUUUUGGUACAACAUCACAGGGCAAUCACAACAGAGGAAUCUGGUUACAACAGUCUAGACACUUUUUGGUAAAAAUGUUUAAAGAAAGAAACAAAACUAAAA